GGGCUUCUGCUUCGUUCGUCAUCUACGACAUAUUUUUUGAACCUAAUUCAUUUGUCGGGAGACCUUCGCAUACAUCUGUUGGCAAACCUGCUCGUCAUAGUACGAGACUUUAACGCCACGGAGCAAGGUCGCCCACCUGUUACGACAGGUUCAAAUGAAGUCGCAGAAACGGCGAGGGCGGUUGCCCC
rnacentral:other from 1 species